rnacentral:tRNA from 1 species
GCGAGCGUAGUUCAAUGGUAGAACGAGAGCUUCCCAAGCUCUAUACGAGGGUUCGAUUCCCUUCGCUCGCU